GACGAACGCUGGCGGCGUGCUUAACACAUGCAAGUCGAACGGAAAGGCCCUGCUUUUGUGGGGUGCUCGAGUGGCGAACGGGUGAGUAACACGUGAGUAACCUGCCCUUGACUUUGGGAUAACUUCAGGAAACUGGGGCUAAUACCGGAUAGGAGCUCCUGCUGCAUGGUGGGGGUUGGAAAGUUUCGGCGGUUGGGGCUGGACUCGCGGCUUAUCAGCUUGUUGGUGGGGUAGUGGCUUACCAAGGCUUUGACGGGUAGCCGGCCUGAGAGGGGGAACGGCCACAUUGGGACUGAGAUACGGCCCAGAAUCCUACGGGAGGCAGCAGUGGGGAAUAUUGCACAAUGGGCGGAAGCCUGAUGCAGCAACGCCGCGUGCGGGAUGACGGCCUUCGGGUUGUAAACCGCUUUCGCCUGUGACGAAGCGUGAGUGACGGUAAUGGGUAAAGAAGCACCGGCUAACUACGUG
rnacentral:rRNA from 1 species